rnacentral:rRNA from 1 species
AGUGGCGAACGGGUGAGUAACACGUGGGUGAUCUGCCCUGCACUUUGGGAUAAGCCUGGGAAACUGGGUCUAAUACCGGAUAGGACUACGCACUGCAUGGUGUGUGGUGGAAAGCUUUUGCGGUGUGGGAUGGGCCCGCGGCCUAUCAGCUUGUUGGUGGGGUGAUGGCCUACCAAGGCGACGACGGGUAGCCGGCCUGAGAGGGUGACCGGCCACACUGGGACUGAGAUACGGCCCAGACUCCUACGGGAGGCAGCAGUGGGGAAUAUUGCACAAUGGGCGCAAGCCUGAUGCAGCGACGCCGCGUGAGGGAUGACGGCCUUCGGGUUGUAAACCUCUUUCGCCAGGGACGAAGCGCAAGUGACGGUACCUGGAGAAGAAGGACCGGCCAACUACGUGCCAGCAGCCGCGGUAAUACGUAGGGUCCGAGCGUUGUCCGGAAUUACUGGGCGUAAAGAGCUCGUAGGUGGUUUGUCGCGUUGUUCGUGAAAACUCACAGCUUAACUGUGGGCGUGCGGGCGAUACGGGCAGACUGGAGUACUGCAGGGGAGACUGGAAUUCCUGGUGUAGCGGUGGAAUGCGCAGAUAUCAGGAGGAACACCGGUGGCGAAGGCGGGUCUCUGGGCAGUAACUGACGCUGAGGAGCGAAAGCGUGGGGAGCGAACAGGAUUAGAUACCCUGGUAGUCCACGCCGUAAACGGUGGGUACUAGGUGUGGGUUUCCUUCCUUGGGAUCCGUGCCGUAGCUAACGCAUUAAGUACCCCGCC